GACGAACGCUGGCGGCGUGCUUAACACAUGCAAGUCGAACGGAAAGGCCCCUUUGGGGGUACUCGAGUGGCGGACGGGGGAGUAACACGUGAGUAACCUGCCCUUGACUUCGGGAUAACUUCAGGAAACUGGGGCUAAUACCGGAAAGGAAUCCUUGCUGCAUGGUGGGGGUUGGAAAGCUUCUGCGGCUUUGGAUGGACUCGCGGGCUAUCAGCGUGUUGGUGGGGUAGUGGCUUACCAAGGCUUUGACGUGUAGCCGGCCUGAGAGAGCGAGAGGCCACACUGGGACCGAGGUGCGGCCCAGACUGCGAAGGGUGGCAGAAGUGGGGAAUCUUGCACAAUGGGCGGAGGCCUGAUGCAGCAACGCCGCGUGUGGGAUGACGGCCUUCGGGUUGUAAAACGCUUUCAGCAGGGGCGAAGCUUGUGGUGACGGUACCUGCAGAAGAAGCACCGGCUAACUACGUG
rnacentral:rRNA from 1 species